CCUACGGGGGGGCAGCAGUGGGGAAUAUUGGACAAUGGGGGCAACCCUGAUCCAGCCAUGCCGCGUGUGUGAAGAAGGCCCUCGGGUUGUAAAGCACUUUCAGUGAGGAAGAACGCCUGGUGGUUAAUACCCAUCAGGAAAGACAUCACUCACAGAAGAAGCACCGGCUAACUCCGUGUCAGCAGCCGCGGUAAUACGGAGGGUGCGAGCGUUAAUCGGAAUUACUGGGCGUAAAGCGCGCGUAGGUGGCUUGAUAAGCCGGUUGUGAAAGCCCCGGGCUCAACCUGGGAACGGCAUCCGGAACUGUCAAGCUAGAGUGCAGGAGAGGAAGGUAGAAUUCCCGGUGUAGCGGUGAAAUGCGUAGAGAUCGGGAGGAAUACCAGUGGCGAAGGCGGCCUUCUGGACUGACACUGACACUGAGGUGCGAAAGCGUGGGUAGCAAACAGGAUUAGAUACCCGUGUAGUC
rnacentral:rRNA from 1 species